UACGUAGGUGGCAAGCGUUGUCCGGAAUUAUUGGGCGUAAAGCGCGCGCAGGCGGUCCUUUAAGUCGGGUGUGAAAGCCCCGGGCUCAACCUGGGAAUUGCAUUCGAGACUGAAUAGCUAGGGUACGGUAGAGGGAAGUGGAAUUUCCGGUGUAGCGGUGAAAUGCGUAGAUAUCGGAAGGAACAUCAGUGGCGAAGGCGACUACCUGGCCUGUUCUUGACGCUGAGGCGCGGAAGCUAGGGGAGCAAACGGG
rnacentral:rRNA from 1 species